CAUUACGUUAUUUAGUCAUUCGUGAUUGAAAAUUGAAGUUUACGGCGAUUCGAUGUCUCUUUGCUUGGCCGAUCUUCCGUCUUCCUCCCAUCAAUCAUCUUUUACUUCACCCCCAUUAAUCAAGUGUAGAUUCAAUGCGAUAUUUUGUUUCGCGAGACGGUAUAGUCGAGUAUAAAAGUAUGUUUCAUCUUUCCAGAAACCCUUUUCAUUCGUUCUCAACUGUUUUCAGUCGUUCCCAAUUGUUAGUCCAAUUGAUAAUCGUAUUCCUCUCCGUAAUUACUGUCACAUCGCCGAUCAUCUUCUCCGUCAGGCCAGGCUGGCCAGUAUCUAUCGUGAAGAGAAGAAUGUUGUAGACUUUAAAUCAUGCUUCUUGGAUACUCCAGGCAUCGCUUCCACAAGAUUUUUCCUCACUACUGUGAUACUCAUCGAAAAAUAAGGUGAAAACUAAUCUGAAACCUAACGAUCCCCGUUACUUAUUCCCCGCCGAAGUAACGCUAGUUAAGCGCUAUCAGAAUGGGAAGUUCUCAGCUCCAUUUGUCUGAAUUGAAGGUCGGAGGCUCGGAAUGUCGAAAAAAGGUGGACAGUUAAUGGGAGUCGAUAUGCUGCUGCUAGAUGUUAAGGUAGUUUGAUACCACAAUUUGAUAUAUAUCUUUACUAAUAUCCUAACCAUGGAUGUUUUUCCCCUUUAACAUCUUUCUGAUUGUAGUCUAUAUUAUUUAGUUAUCGACCAUAGAAGAAAUGUUAGUAGAAAAAAAUACAAUUACAUUGUUAGUUUUCUCAUAUAUAUUUACCUAAUCUACAAUUACAUUGUUAGUUUCUUCACGAGUUUAUUUAAAUUCAUUUAACUCUAGAAAAUUACAAUAAAAAAUCAUAACUAAUUAUCAAGAACACAUUGUUUAUUUAGUCUUAAAAUUAAAAAAAUAUGAAACUAAACUAAUAUUUAUAUUUUUAAAUAAUAAAAUUUAUAUUAUACAUUAAUUCUAACAAUUUACAUAAUUUUCAAAUUUAAAUC